ACUGCCGUAGCUCAGUUGAUUAGAGCCCACCACUCUCUAUGACCCGGUCUAAUGGUCGGUGGUUCGAAUCCACUCGGUCGUACCA
rnacentral:tRNA from 1 species